rnacentral:rRNA from 1 species
GACAGAGGGUGCAAACGUUGUUCGGAAUUACUGGGCGUAAAGCGCGUGUAGGCGGUUAUGCAAGUCGGGUGUGAAAGCCCGGAGCUCAACUCCGGAAGUGCAUUCGAUACUGCGUAGCUAGAGUACUGGAGAGGAUGGUGGAACUCUCGGUGUAGAGGUGAAAUUCGUAGAUAUCGAGAAGAACACCGGUGGCGAAGGCGGCCAUCUGGACAGAUACUGACGCUGAGGCGCGAAAGCGUGGGGAGCAAACAGG